CAGCUACCCCUAUAGUUUCAGACGGUGCUUCUAAGUAGAUUUUUGGGGUUGUUGUGUCUUUCUAUAGCUGGUGAUACAAGCUCCUCAAAUGCUGCCCUCACCUUACUUUAGGCAUGGUAUUUUAAUCAGGGAAAAAGAGCGAUGACCAGGUCAUUCAAUAAGAAGGAAAGGUUAUAAGAUGUAACACACAGAGUGUGUGUGAGGGUCUUGCAGUGGGUAGGGUAUGGCGAUCUUGCAAAUCCCCACUGCUCCUGUGUCUGCAGAGGAGCCAGUCAAGCUUGUAACCCCCCUGGGCCCUUGUGCACUUGCUUUUACCAAGGUUUCCUUUGUAGCCAGGGCAGCGGCAGUGCUUGGCUAGUCUUUCCCAUGCUUGUGCUGGAGCUGACUAGGACAACUGUUCAGUGGGGCCACCAUACAAAGACAGAUCACAGAAGAAGAUUCAUGUAGGUAGAAAGCAUAAUGUCCAACCUGGCUUCCAGAGCUUCUCACCUAAUUUCUGCUCUUUGGUGGGGUCUCAGAGGAUGCAGCUGAGCGCAAACACCUUGUAAAGGGCUGAUGAUGUCUUAUAAAACCCAGCUGGGCACGGACAAUAAAAUCUGCUGCUGCUGUCUCCUUUGCAGAAAGAUCUACCUGUGCUAUUAGAUUUCAUAUAUAGAUGUUAUUUUUCUCAAAAGACUGCAUUAAUUGGAAUGAGCAAGUUGCAUGCCUAAUUGUGUCAGGAAAGAAAAGGAAGAUGUCACUAUACUGGAAAACCUCACCUGACUUUUCUCGAUAAAAUAGCAAAACAGAAUGGGAAUGCAAAAGGAAACUUAAGAAUUUUUUGAAUCCCUGGCACUGGGCACAACCCCUGACCUUUCACAACCAGUCUCUCCAGCUGCAGCAGGAAAGCGAGAUGGCAUUUCUGCUCCUGUCCUUGCAUGUUUUUCACCAUGUUUUUUGAGAAGAGGAAAAAGACCCCUCGGAAGUAGGAAUGAAAGCACUGGAGCAGAUGAUGUGAAGGCAGCUAACACAGCGUGGAGUUUGUGCAUGUGGCCGGAUGGCAAAAACCACCAAAGGUGACUCAUCUGAUAGAUUGCUAAAACAACCCAAUUCUUAACUGCUGAUUAUGAAAACUAAGUCUGGCUCCCACGGGUCCUGGAGCAGAGCAUCAGGACUGAUUUGCCAGUGGGGCUCUCAGAAAGGCCCUCCUCCUCCUUUCAGCAUCAAGAGGAGGGUGCACAAGGUGUGUAAAGUCCUCUUUUGCUUACAAUGAGUUGCCUUAUGCACCAUCAAAAGAGCAGAAAUGCCGUGGCACAAGAGCAGAAACAGUCCUGCUUCUCCAGGUGUUGCCCCUGGGGGUUUUGCAGGGGCACUCGUCACUCUCCAUACAUUUUUGGGGAUGCUACUAUUCCUCCAUACAUCCCUUACUGACAAAGCCAGGUGUAUAUGAAGGCAGUGGACAUAGUUCUGAAAAUACAGCCCUCCACGGUUGUGUAGCCGUGCCUUUGGCGCAGUGAGGCAGACUUCCCUUGGGUGCACUCUCUCACCCUUUUAGAUCUGCAGACGAGAAGCAUGCACAGGCACCUACAGCAAGACCUGAAUGAUGCCAGCUGGUUUGCAAAAUCUGAACUAAUAGCUGCUAGAUUGCCUGAAAAACAAAUCCUUAUGGCAUGCCAAGUACUGAAAGUGAUUUAUGCUGAGGAAUGGUUCUGAGUGUGUUGGCGGGGGUUUUUUGGCAAGAAAUUUUCCAUUAGCAUGAGUUUUAUGCCUUGUCCAUGCAUGAAUUAACAAGUCAAGGGCUGGAUUGCCACAACUGUUUUGGUGCAAUAUCUGCAAUAAUGCUUUCGGUUUCAUGGUGUGUUUACAAAAAGGAGCGGGACCUCCUCAACCGACUCUCUCUUAAAUGCUCCCUCUGCUGGCUCUAGUGUGAAUUACUGUAUUUUAAUUAAUCUCAGUCUAAUAUUCAAUUGUAAUGAAAUUACUAGUUGAACAGUAAAAUUUCCUCCACUUUUAUUCCUCCACCAUACUCUGGAUCCCACAUCUCCAUGCCACUGAGUGUACUGCACCUGUCCUGAUACUGGCACAGUGUUUGUGGGAGGAGUCGUUUUCUAUAACACCAAUUAUUAUUGCUAGUUUAGGUUUCUUAAUAUAAAAUAUAUUCUCUCCUUUAACAAACUCUGCUUCUCCUAUAUCCCUAGA